GAUGAACGCUAGCGGCAGGCCUAAUACAUGCAAGUCGAGGGGUAGAGCGGUGCUUGCACUGCUUGAGACCGGCGCACGGGUGCGUAACGCGUAUGCAACCUACCUUAAUCAGGGGGAUAGCCCGGAGAAAUCCGGAUUAACACCGCAUAAAAUCACAGUACCGCAUGGUACAAUGAUCAAAUAUUUAUAGGAUUAAGAUGGGCAUGCGUGUCAUUAGCUAGUUGGCGGGGUAAUGGCCCACCAAGGCGACGAUGACUAGGGGAUCUGAGAGGAUGACCCCCACACUGGUACUGAGACACGGACCAGACUCCUACGGGAGGCAGCAGUAAGGAAUAUUGGUCAAUGGAGGCAACUCUGAACCAGCCAUGCCGCGUGCAGAAAGACGGCCCUAUGGGUUGUAAACUGCUUUUAUACCGGAAUAAACCUAUCUUCGUGAAGGUAGCUGAAUGUACGGUAAGAAUAAGGAUCGGCUAACUCCGUGCCAGCCGCCGCAGUAAUAC
rnacentral:rRNA from 1 species